AUCUACGACACUGCAACCUCCACCUGAUGGAUCCUCCUGGCCUCAUGUGAUCCAUCUGCCUGAGCCUCCCAAAGGGCUGGGAUUACAGGUGUGAGCCACCACACCCAACUCCAAACCUGGAUUCCUAAUGUUUAAAGUACUUGAAGAGGAAUGUGGAUCCCUGCCUAUUCUGAGACAGAAAUAGGAUAUUUCAUUCAGAACUCAAAGUGAUCAUCCUACGGCAGGACUGUGCAACUCCUUCAAAGAAGAAUGAUCUCUGAAAGCUCUUAUUACCUUCCCUGACACAGCAGUUGUCUGUGACAUUACCUAAUUUGAGGCAGAUGAAUGAUAAUUCCUUUCCAUUCUUCAAAAGCCACAUUGCAAAAGAAAGCUAGAAGGAAGUCUAGAGAGAAAUUCUUAUUGAAUUUUGAAAAUAUAAUAUGUUUCAUUUGUAACAAUUCAUAUAAACUGUCUCUGGUAAAGAUGCACACAGAUCUUAGUUGAGCUUACAUAAAAUUUUACAAAGUCACCAUUUCCUGUAAUGUAAAUUACAUAAUGCUGUCUUAUGUAAUUGUUUAAAUAACAUGUGUUGAACACUCAGUAUGUGACAGGCAGUAUUCCAAGUACUUUACACCACACCAACCUGGGGAGUUUACAGUGAGAAAUAUUCUCUCUUUACAGACAUAAUAAAUGCACAGAAUGAGUAACUGUCCAAGGUCACUCAGGUAGUGAGUGUCUUAAUUGUGACUUGAACCUGAACAUUCUUGUUCCAGGGCCUACACACAUAAUCAGGUUUCUAGAUGGCCUUUUGCUAUCCCAAUUUGUUAUGCAUGAAAAAAGCAAAAUUAUACAUUAUGUGGGGAGCCACUGCACACUGAAUCACUUGUUACCCACCCUGCUCCUAUUCUAAGAUGUCUUCCUGCACUCUAAAUGUUGGAAACUCAAAAACCACCUUUCCAAGAGUUCCUUGCCACUAGACUUCUACCUGUGCUCUAGCCUCUGCCAAGUAUUCAGUUGUCUAAGCCUUGGAAUGUGUGGAAAUGAGAUACAGGGAUGGCAGCAAAGACAUGUGAUAGGUGCUUUUGAGCAUGCUGGUCUAGUCUUUGGCAUUAUAACUGUUGAGCAGUGGGUAGAAGCAGCAGCAAGAUUUCCUCUAGAACACUCUUAGAGUAUGGGUGGAAGCUUCCAUAACUGUUUACUGUCCUGUAAUAAAAUUCUUGCUAUUUAAGCUACUAGAUUACAUUCUCUGCAAACAAGAUCCAUAAUGAAUGCAGAGGGCUUCAAGCCUACGAAGGGAUAUUGGUACAGGAAGUUCUCUGACCCUUGGUGUCCCUCCAAGUGCUGGAAAAUUGAACUAGAAGGCUAAUUUUAAAUUUAAAAUUUUUCUGAUUUUUAAGACAGAAGGUUCUGAAUAGGGUAGACAGGAUAUCCUUCAUCAUUUGCUUAAGCAAUUUUUUCUAUAGAGGUUAUCUCCUCCCUCCUGAGUUAGCCAUAUGACAAAAAGCAUUGCAUUUCUGGGAGAAAAUGUGCCUCUUGUGCUGUCUUGAAGAAUAACUAAACCAAAACAAUUAAGGAGAUCCUAAAUGAAAAUUGCCUAUUAUAUGAGUCCAAUCAAUUCUGGAAAAGCAAUAAUGGAAUGGGAGUUUUCUGAUCUCUCUUGUCUUUAUUUUUCUUUUCCUGCCCUCUUCCAACCCCCAAGUCAAGGGGAAAAUGGGAAUGGCACUGGACCUUGAAGGAAUGGUGAAUAUGGUGGUGUGGAAAGCCUCCCUGGAAGGGAACAGUCAUUGAGAAGGGCAGGAUGUUUUUGAAACAGGGAGUCUACAAGUUUCUCUGGGGUAAAAGCAAGUGCAGAGAAGCAGGGGAAGAUAAGGUUGGGGAGAGGAGCUAAGAAAGAUCUAAGGAGUUAGUCUUCCAUUUUGUGGAUAGGCUGACAGUUUUUUUAGUAGGCUUUUAAAACAGUCUUUUUUCAGAAGAUUAAUAUGAAAUUGGUAAGUUAGAUAACUGGAGGUGGGAAAGAAACAGAAGGAAAAUAGUAAUGAAGCUGCUUCACUAACCCAGCAAUGGGAAAUAAACACCUGAAAUAAAAAACUGGAAACAGAAAGGACAAUAGUUAGUAAAGAUGUACUGGUCUAACUUAAGAAAUUGUUAUGGAAACUGGGUAUAAAAAAAGAUCUUUAAAAAGAUAAGAGUGAACAUUAUUGUCAUGCUCUCUCUAUAUAUAUAUAUAAAAGAAUACACACAUAUUAAAGUAUAAAAUGUGAAGAUUAAUCAUCCUUGAAGCAUAAUCCCAAAUACAGUGUUAGAAAAAGAUUGCAAAUAUGAGGGAAUGCAGCUUCUCACAGACCACUCAUUCUUUGUAGUUGUUUGUUAGUGGAAAAAAUAGUUACUUCACAAUUGAAAUCACUAGCAACAAAUAUCCGAAAGCUUCUGGGUCCACCACAGCAACUCUCUCUCCAUCUAGACACAAUUAUGUUUUCCAGGCUGUAAACUAGGAGAAGCCUCAUGCUACUGUUCUCAUGAGUCUGAAAAAGGAGGUCAUUCUUUUGAGAUUGUUGAGUGUUUCUCUGAGGUUCUUUAUCCAGCUGUGACUUCUGUUUUUAUUUUGCUUAUACAUCUUUAUAAAAGUGACAUUGGAAUAUUUACCUUUCAAUUGAAACCUGCAAGGGUCAUAGCAGAGCUCAAGAUUACUUUUUAUUUUCCCUCACAGAAAAUUUUAAAAAUACAAAAUGUAUUUUCAGUCUAGGGUUGCAUCUCUCAUAGUAUUUAAUUUCAAGUAGAUCAUUGGAGAGCACAUGCUAUAGACCAGUCAUACUUGUGCAUUCAAUUUUCCAAGUCAUGAGAGUGCCCAGAAGGGGUUCAUUAUGCUCCAACUCUUGAGUAGUAUGCAUCAGACCAGUACCAACCUGGUGAUUAAGGGACUCUAAAUCUGUUUACAGUAACAACUUAUUUUUCUCAAGGUAAUUUAUUUUUCAAUUUUAGCUACCCUAGGACACAUUAAGGAUGAGGAACCAAGUUUAAAAUUCUCUUACGGCCUAAAAUAGAUAUAGCAAUGUCUACUGCAUAAAGCCCAUAUGCUUUCCAUGGGUAAAUCCCUUGGGGAAAUAUUACUGUUAUUGUAGAUCCAAUAUUAGAAAGAUUGUGGCUUUCCAGGCCACAACAAAUUAGAAGCAAGAAAUUGCAAGGGGAAGGAAAAGAUGAUAGAGACAAAUACAGUGAGUGCAUCAAAUAGUAAACGCUAGGCGUUUCACUUUAAGAAGAUAAAGAGAAAUAGAAUCCUUAUUUCCCCAGUCGUGGAAAAAUUAUUUGGAAGUACAGUUGUAAGUAAAAUUCUUGUCUAAUCCUAUAGCAAGUUCUGGAAAAAUUAUGUCCCCAUCCAGUACCUGUACAAUUGGGUCCAACACUCAAAGACGUGCAGCCCUUGCCUUUGGCCUAAUAUUGCUCUUAUGCCAUUCUUAGCCCCAAGGUCUCACAGGACUUUCAGUUAAGUUGAGCUUCAGUAGCAGAGGACCUAAGAAAUUCUACCAUUUUACUGUCUUGCACCUUGAUUCUUAUAUGUUCCUGCUUUGAAUGUUUGGGGCAAUGAGCUAGGCUGGAAAGCUGAUAGUAUAAAAUUAUUUGGGCUUCUGUAGAUGUCCUCUGUGCUCGACAGCCCUCUGUUCUCUCCCACUUUAGGAGAGUUUCUUCCAGGGACAGCCUGAAAACUCAGGUGUCUGGGAAUUAAAUAAUGAGAUCUACAAUCAGAACCAUGGGGACUGAGUAUUCAGUUUGACCCCUUCUAAUAAGAAGAGUUGUAGCACUCCAAAGCCUUUAGUAAGAUAAAUAACUUUCCAAACCUCAAAUACUCCUGAGACCAUUAUUGUGUUAUAGCACAGAGUAAUCCUUAAUUUUGCUAAUGAUGACCCUGAGUCAUUAUGAAAAGGUUAAGUUAUCCAACAUAAAGUUUAAUCAAGCAAUGCCUACUAUACACAAAAAGGCAAGGAAGAAUUGAAUACAUUUUGAGAAGCUGCCCAUGAAAAUGUUUUAUCACUAUUAAGGCAAGAUAACUUUAGGCUAUUUGGUAAGUUAAAUUCUGUGAAACACUUAUGUACUGUCAGUGCUGGUUAAAUGAAGCGUGUCUGUAUUUGACUGUGUUUUCUCAUAAGACAAUGUUAUUAAUCAAUAAACAUGAAUACCAUGUCCCUACCAUGCCUAUGAUGUCUGUGUCUACAGAGCCUAAAUUAGUUUAUAAUUGACACUUUAAAAUCCUUUUUCAGUAAUUCAUGCAAUAAUCCAUAUGGUUGGAAAGCUUGUGCGAAGUUGAUCAAACCAUUUUCCCUGUUAUUUUUAAAAAUAUAGAUCUGACCUAAAGAAACGAAUUUACUUCCUAAAGAGAAGUAUAAAUUCAACCUCAAUAAAACUAAUGUUUCAUAUUUGAUGAUAAAUGCCUUCAGAUAUUAACUGGAAAGACAAAUUUUGGGAGAUAUAUAUGGAUUAGUUUCAUUUGCUCUUGAAUUUUAAAUUUAUGCAUCAUAGACAGGGUGUGGUGGCUCAUGCUUGUAAUUCCUGCACUUUGGAAGGCCGAGGUGGGUGGAUCACUUGAGGUCAGGAGUUCAAGACCAGCCUGGCCCACAUGUUGUAACCCCACUCCUACUGAAAAUACAAAAAUUAGCUGGGCAUGUUGGCAGGCAUCCAUAGUCUCACUACUCAGGAGGCUGAGACAGCAGAAUUGCUUGAGCCCAGGAGGUGGAGGUUGCAGUGAGCUGAGCUCAUGCCACUGCACUCCAGUCUGGGUGACAGAGCAGGAUUCUGUCUCGAAACAAGUGAUCCAUUGUGGAUAUAAGUAGCAAUUACAGAAUUUGUACUUUCUUCCUUCAUGAUUUUUGCUUAAUUAUAAUUUUUAUGUCAGCAGGAUUGUUUAAUAUUUUUAUUCUUUAAUGUCAUAAUAAGUAAUACACAUUCAUGUUUAAAAAUCCUUAGUAAGAUAACUAAGAUUUUUAUAGAUUUAUUUAUUCCACAAAUAUUACUUGAGUGUCUACUUUGUGCCAGUACUAGGGACACUACUGGGGACACCUUAAUGGACAAAAAACAUCAGCCUUUCUAGAGUUUACCUCCUGGCGAGGGGGAGAAAGGGAGUAUGUGGAAUAGUAGUUUACACUUACAUAAUGCUUUCUAUGUGCCAAGCACUGUUCUAAACACUUUCCAUAUAUUAAUUCAGUUAAUUCCUCACAACGUCUUUAAAAGAUACAAACUGUCAUUAUCAUCUCCUAUUUUAUGCACAAGGAAACUGAGAUACAGAGAGGGUAAGCAGUUUUUUAACAUUGCACAGAAAGUAUUAGAACAACACUUAAAACCCAGGCAGCCUGGCUUCAGUUGCAUGUGUUCGUAAGUAUUGCACAUACAGUAUAGUCAUGUUACUAUUCUGCAGAAUUUAGAAAAUCAUAACAAUAUGAGCAGAAUCAACAAUUCAGUAGGAAAAUUUAGUUACUGAAAAACAGGUUAAUUUGCUCAUAGUAAUAACAGUAGAAUAAUUUAUAAUUUCUAUUCCAGAAAACCUGAAUUCUCUUAUAAGUCAUUAUGUAGAGAUUACCCAAGUAGACUCACACUUAAGACUCUUCAAUAUGAUUUGGCCUUAAGUUAAUGAUUCACUAGAAAUUUUAACUCGUCUCCUAAAGGUGCAGAUUUAGUAACUCUACUUGAGAAUCACUUAUUCACAUUUCUGAUGAUGAUUCUCUUCCUUGCUGACAAACAAGGACCAAAAGGAACAUGGACAACAUUAUGAAGUCAGCAAAGAUGAUUUACUUUACCCCCAACGUCCUUCUGCCUCUUUUCCACUUUCUCCUUAGAAACUUCAGAGUAUCUUCCACUUACUUUUGUCUUAUUUCUCAUUUUUACACUAUCACACUGAGGGUACUUAUCAUCAUAGCUAAAAAAAUUGAUCGGUUAGUAGGCGUAUGUCUCAUAACACUUUCCCUUCUGGCAGUCUAUUUGUAUUUUGUCCUAGGACAUUUUGAGGGAAUGACUUAAUUCUAGGAAGUGCCUCUAAGUCACUGUUAGGCACUAAGUAGGACUAAAGGAUCUGCGUUCUGGUCAUUUGAUCUCUGGAAGUCCCCCCAGAUACUCUUGUUAGGAAACUACCAACCCUGUGCCUGUAGGACUAGUUUUUGUACAAGAAGAUAAAUGCAGUGUUAUUAAAUUAAAGGCAACAUUUACUUAUGUUUAUCAUUAAUCUCUUGUAGAGUUUGCCUUUAAAAAAUGUAGAAACUUAACUGAUAUGAAGUUUUCAAAAUAAUUGGAGUCGGAGAAAGUGAAUAGAAGUACAGAUAAAAUAAGAUUGGCCAUGAGUUGACAAUUAUUAAAGAUGUGUGAUGACUUGAUAACUACUGAAUCACGAGAAUUCAUUAGGUUAUCUUUCUAUUCUUAUGUCAUUUUUUCACAAUGAAAAGUUUUAGAAAGAUACAGAAAUUAUAUAUACAAAAAAUACUUUGACAUUUUGCUCUAUGUCUAAUUCAGCCAGGGUUAAUAUCCAAUGUGAAAUUUUGGUCAUGCAUUGCUAAGAAUUUAUGUAGAUGAUAUUAUGCAUGUGGUACUAUAAAAAAUAAUAAAUCAUCUUUAUUAAAAUGAUGACUGUGUUCCAUGACUAAGAUAUACAUUCCUUGAUUUGAGUCAUAGGGGAAAAAUGUGUUCUUUCUUUAAAAUAUUUUUGAGUAAUGAAUGCUGAAACAUAACGAAUAAAAACACAUGCUCCAUUUAAAAUGAGAUUUCAAGUCUGUGUCCCUUUAAUUACUUUAUAUACCAAAACAAAUGUUUUUAAAUCAUAUUUUGAUAUCCUAUGAAGGAUAAAUUUAUUUGUGCCUUCUUUUGAGCUCUGCAAACUCAGAAUUUUAAAAAUGUUAGCAUACAGAUUUGAAAUGUUUUUCUUUUCUUGUUAGUGUUUUUCUAUACACGAUUUAUUUAUUUAUGCUGGAUAAAGCCAUCCUUUACAGAAGAGAAACAUUUAAAAUAUAGAAAAUUUUAAAGAAAAAAGGCAUCUGCAGAUCUUUAAUCCAGAAGUAUCAAUGAAAACCCUUAGGGCAGUGAUGGCUUUUCACCAUACCUCGGUACUGCCCCAGAGAGUUAGGGAGACAGCAGCUGGGAUUGUUAUGUUCUGUCCAAAAGGCCUCCCAUUCUCAGCAAAUAAUUCCUUGCUUGAAGCAUGACACAAAAGCAUCAUCAGAGCUAUAGGAUGUCGAAAAGAACCAGGUGAUGUCUGCUAACCUGUGUGCAUCUGUGGUCAAUGGCAGUUGGCUCUCUGUAUGCUCUGCUGGCAAGUGAGACCUCAGGACUUACAAAUAAUCAGCGGGUGUUCAAUCUUGGUGGAAACUGAGUGAUUUUACUCCCGUUGCACAGAAAGUUUGCUGUACGUAGGAAAUCCUCACCCCGCAUAUAUGUUUGCUGUGUGUAAAGGACCAAAGGAUUGCCCUAUUUACUCUAGUGGAGGACAGUGGAAGAAGACUGGGUUUGAGGGGGAAGUAUUUAUGAGCUCAGUUUGGAAAUGUUGAAUUUGAGUUGCCUUUAACACAUCUAAGAUGUCAAGUAGGCAGUUGGAGAAGAUAAAAUUUAAGUUAGGUUGAUAAAGAGACAAGAGACUUUUC